rnacentral:rRNA from 1 species
CCUACGGGAGGCAGCAGUGGGGAAUCUUCCGCAAUGGACGAAAGUCUGACGGAGCAACGCCGCGUGAGCGAAGAAGGCCUUCGGGUCGUAAAGCUCUGUUGUCAGGGAAGAACAAGUACCGAUCGAAUAGGGCGGUACCUUGAACGGUACCUGACCAAGAGAGACACAGGCUAAACUAACGUGGCAGGAAGACG